GUGACGGGGCGCCGGAGCGGAGGGAGCCGGGGCUGGGAGUUCUCCUGAGGGAAGAGGAGUGGAGUAGGGGGGACGCGGCGGCGGCGUUGACAAUGGUAAACCUAGCCUUUAAGCAACCUGGAAAGAGGCUAGAACACCAAGGAAUUAGAAUUGAAUUUGUAGGUCAAAUUGAACUUUUCAAUGACAAGAGUAAUACUCAUGAAUUUGUAAACCUAGUGAAAGAACUAGCCUUACCUGGAGAACUGACUCAGAGCAGAAGUUAUGAUUUUGAAUUUAUGCAAGUUGAAAAGCCAUAUGAAUCUUACAUCGGUGCCAAUGUCCGCUUGAGGUAUUUUCUUAAAGUGACAAUAGUGAGAAGACUGACAGAUUUGGUAAAAGAGUAUGAUCUUAUUGUUCACCAGCUUGCCACCUAUCCUGAUGUUAACAACUCUAUUAAGAUGGAAGUGGGCAUUGAAGAUUGUC
rnacentral:sRNA from 1 species